CGAACGGGUGAGUAAUGCGUGACCGACCUGCCCCAUGCUCCGGAAUAGCUCCUGGAAACGGGUGGUAAUGCCGGAUGUUCCACAUGAUCGCAUGUGAUUGUGGGAAAGAUUUCAUCGGCGUGGGAUGGGGUCGCGUCCUAUCAGCUUGUUGGUGAGGUAACGGCUCACCAAGGCUUCGACGGGUAGCCGGCCUGAGAGGGCGACCGGCCACAUUGGGACUGAGAUACGGCCCAG
rnacentral:rRNA from 1 species